CAGCCGCCGCGGGAAUACGGAGGGAGCUAGCGUUGUUCGGAAUUACUGGGCGUAAAGCGCACGUAGGCGGCUUUGUAAGUUAGAGGUGAAAGCCUGGGGCUCAACUCCAGAAUUGCCUUUAAGACUGCAUCGCUUGAAUCAUGGAGAGGCGGGUGGAAUUCCGAGUGUAGAGGUGAAAUUCGUAGAUAUUCGGAAGAACACCAGUGGCGAAGGCGGCCCGCUGGACAUGUAUUGACGCUGAGGUGCGAAAGCGUGGGGAGCAAACAGGAUUAGAUACCCCAGUAGUCCCUGUCUCUUAUAC
rnacentral:rRNA from 1 species